ACGAACGCUGGCGGCGUGCUUAACACAUGCAAGUCGAACGGAAAGGCCCCUUUGGGGGUACUCGCGUGGCGAACGGGUGAGUAACACGUGAGUAACCUGCCCUUGACUUCGGGAUAACUUCAGGAAACUGGGGCUAAUACCGGAUAGGAAUCCUUGCUGCAUGGUGGGGGUUGGAAAGCUUCGGCGGUUUUGGAUGGGCUCGCGGCUUAUCAGCUUGUUGGUGGGGUAGUGGCUUACCAAGGCUUUGACGGGUAGCCGGCCUGAGAGGGCGACCGGCCACAUUGGGACUGAGAUACGGCCCAGACUCCUACGGGAGGCAGCAGUGGGGAAUAUUGCACAAUGGGCGGAAGCCUGAUGCAGCAACGCCGCGGGCGGGAUGACGGCCUUCGGGUUGUAAACCGCGUUCAGCAGGGGCGAAGCUUGUGGUGACGGUACCUGCAGAAGAAGCACCGGCUAACUACGUG
rnacentral:rRNA from 1 species